rnacentral:lncRNA from 1 species
UAAUAAUGAUAGCAAAUAAUGAUAAUAGUAGUAAAUUAGAUAAUGAUAAUGGUAGCAAAUAAUAAUAAUGAUAGAAAAAAAGAUAAUGGUAGUAAAUUAGAACCGUAAGUCAAAGAGAAUAAAAAGGAAUAAUAGCAAGAUGAUGGUAAUUAAAAAACGUAAACAUAGCAAUCAAUUAAAUGGGGCAAAAAAGAAAAAAAAAUCAUAAAACAUCGUGAUAUAAUCCAAUACGGGUAAAAAAAAC